rnacentral:rRNA from 1 species
UUUUNCUCCAAUCGGNCUCCACAACGACGGCUCCACCNAGANGGUUAGGCCACCGGCUUCGGGUGUUACCGACUUUCGUGACGUGACGGGCGGUGUGUACAAAGCCCGGGAACGUAUUCACCGCAGCAUGCUGAUCUGCNAUUACUAGCAACUCCAACUUCAUGGGGUCAANUUGCAAACCCCAAUCCGAACUGANGCCGGCUUUUUGGGAUUCGCUCCGCCUCACGGCAUCGCAGCCCUUUGUACCGACCAUUGUAGCACGUGUGCAGCCCAAGACAUAAGGGGCAUGAUGAUUUGACGUCGUCCCCACCUUCCUCCGANUUGAACCCGGCAGUCUCCUGUGANUCCCCCGACAUUACUCGCUGGCAACACAGAACAAGGGUUGCGCUCGUUUGCGGGACUUAACCCAACAUCUCACGACACGANCUGACGANAACCAUGCACCACCUGUAUACCGACCACAAGGGGGCACCCAUCUCUGGAUGUUUCCCGGGCAUAUGUNNAGCCCUGCUUCUCUUUCCUUUCUUUUUUCCCAUUUUUUUUUUNCCCCCCCCCCCCCGCUUUGUUGCGGGGCCCCCCUUCAAUUCCCUUUGAAAUUUUAAGCCUUUGGGGGGGGUAAU